rnacentral:misc_RNA from 1 species
UAAAGAUCUCUCAGGGUCAAGAGC